GCAUGAUGCAACUUCUUGGAUGGUGUGUAGGCUGUUUGUCAACAUGUGAAACCCACAUGUAUUUCAGGGAGUACUCUCCCUUGUUUAAGAUCAAUAAUGGCGAAUAUACAAUGUGGUAUGCUGUCUGGUCAUCAACAGAGAGUUUUGACACCUGUAUACCCGUAUCUCUAACAAUCACCUCUGUAACCUUUGUUGUGUUCAUCAGACAGAUGAUGGACCACUCUACUUCCUUUUACAACAGAUGCCCCUACAGAUUCACAAAUAUCCAAUGUUGAGUUUCCAUGACCUUAUUCAUCCACGUCAGGAAAAAGGAAUUAACUUGACAGGACUUUCCACACUGUAAGUGGUAGCAGCUUACGAUGGAACCGACAGCAGUAGACA